GACGAACGCUGGCGGCGUGCCUAAUACAUGCAAGUUGAGCGCUGAAGGUUGGUACUUGUACCAACUGGAUGAGCAGCGAACGGGUGAGUAACGCGUGGGGAAUCUGCCUUUGAGCGGGGGACAACAUUUGGAAACGAAUGCUAAUACCGCAUAAAAACUUUAAACACAAGUUUUAAGUUUGAAAGAUGCAAUUGCAUCACUCAAAGAUGAUCCCGCGUUGUAUUAGCUAGUUGGUGAGGUAAAGGCUCACCAAGGCGAUGAUACAUAGCCGACCUGAGAGGGUGAUCGGCCACAUUGGGACUGAGACACGGCCCAAACUCAUACGGGAGGAAGCAGUAGGGAAUCGUCGGAAAUGGAAGAAAGUCUGACCGGGCAACGCCGCGUGAGUGAAGAAGGUUUUCGGAUCGUAAAACUCUGUUGGUAGAGAAGAACGUUGGUGAGAGUGGAAAGCUCAUCAAGUGACGGUAACUACCCAGAAAGGGACGGCUAACUACGUG
rnacentral:rRNA from 1 species